rnacentral:rRNA from 1 species
AGCGAACGCUGGCGGCGUACUUAACACAUGCAAGUCGAACGGGGAUCGUCAGUGUAGCAAUACAUCGGCGGUUCUAGUGGCGCACGGGUGAGUAACACGUGGGUAACCUGCCCUUGAGUUCGGGAUACCCUUUCGAAAGGAAGGCUAAUACCGGAUACGUUCCUCGGAUUGCCAAAUCUGGGGAGGAAAGGUGGCGCAAGCUGCCGCUCUUGGAGGGGCUCGCGGCCUAUCAGCAGUUGGUGAGGUAACGGCUCACCAAGGCUAUGACGGGUAGCUGGUCUGAGAGGACGACCAGCCACACGGGAACUGAGACACGGUCCGGACUCCUACGGGAGGCAGCAGUGGGGAAUAUUGGACAAUGGGGCAACCCUGAUCCAGCGACGCCGCGUGGUGAAGAAGGCCUGCGGGUUGUAAAGCCCUUUCGGUGGGGAAGAAAGUCUCGACCUAAUACGUCGGGACCUUGACGUAACCCACU